rnacentral:rRNA from 1 species
AGCGAACGCUGGCGGCAGGCCUAACACAUGCAAGUCGAACGAACCUUUCGGGGUUAGUGGCGGACGGGUGAGUAACACGUGGGAACGUGCCUUUAGGUUCGGAAUAACUCAGGGAAACUUGUGCUAAUACCGAAUGUGCCCUUCGGGGGAAAGAUUAAUCGCCUUUAGAGCGGCCCGCGUCUGAUUAGCUAGUUGGUUGAGGUAAUGGCUCACCAAGGCGACGAUCAGUAGCUGGUCUGAGAGGAUGAUCAGCCACAUUGGGACUGAGACACGGCCCAAACUCCUACGGGAGGCAGCAGUGGGGAAUCUUGCGCAAUGGGCGAAAGCCUGACGCAGCAAUGCCGCGUGAAUGAUGAAGGUCUUAGGAUUGUAAAAUUCUUUCACCGGGGACGAUAAUGACGGUACCCGGAGAAGAAGCCCCGGCUAACUUCGUG